ACCCGUAUGCAGACAUAGUAAAGAAAAAAAAAUAAGAUUUCUUUUUAAUUUUAUAGAGUUGAACUGAAACUCGCUCACAGAGACAUUUCCACUUGACACUAGUGCCUUGGGAGCCUCAAAGUAGAUGAGACGUUUACUAACAAGCACACACAAACACAACCGCCACCUGAUUUCUGCCUGCGUUUCCACUGGCAAUCUUAUGCUUAGCUACCUUUGGACCCCCGGAGGGAAAAGAAACCAAAACAGAACAAAACUUCUCACAUCAGAACUACCAGUUACGGGGGAAGAGAAAAAAGAAAACACAAGCAAACAGAAAAGAAGUCCUCUAGAGUGCAAGGUUUCCCAGGAGCGUGGGCUCUCUGGCACCCUCUCCACGGAGGCGGCGGGCCAGCUGCAUGUCUUGGGGCAUAAUUGUGACGCGCCUGGCAUGGAUGGCACACAGGUUGGUGUCUUCAAAGAGCUGCACCAGGUAGGCCUCGCUGGCCUCCUGCAGGGCGCCAAUGGCCGCGCUCUGGAAGCGCAGGUCCAGGCUGAUGGCCUGGGCGAUCUCGCGCACCAGGCGCUGGAAGGGCAGCUUGCGCAGGAGCAGCUGCGUGGACUUCUGGUACUUUCUGAUUUCCCGCAGCGCCAGGGUGCCAGGCUUGUAGCGAAUUGAAACUGAUGAAUAUCAACAUCACUUAGUAAAGUUCAGGAGAAAAAAAUCAAGUUAGAUAUGCAAAAAUGUGAUAUGAAUGUGAUAGAAGAUGUUAUUCUCUGAAGCUUAAUUUCAUCUGAAAGAAAUGUAAGAGAAAAUAAAAAGCAUUGUCAAAUUCUUUCUUAUCUUUGUGGGUUUAUCUAGCUUUAAGCUUUGAGGUUGCUGACCUUUAGAUGGGGGUUUUGGUUUUGUUGUGGUUGUUUGCUGUUUGAUUUUUUUUUUUUUUAAACACUCUGGCCACUCUUCUGUAGGGCUGCUGCAGUUUGCUGGGUGUCUGCUCCGGAUUGUAGUCACCUGGGUUUUUCCCAUACUUGGAAUUAUCACCCUUGAAAACUGCAAAACAGCACAGAUGGCAUCUUGCUUCUUCCUCUGGAAACUUUGUCCCAGGAGGGUACUAAACUUGUUACUGGCUUGAAUGUAUAUGUAGGAGGUGGCUGGUUACACUGCUUGGGAAAAUCUCAUGCAGUUGAGGGGAAUAGGAUCAGGGACAUACUUAAGCAAUCUAACUGCUUUUUGGUGGAGCAGCUGUGCUGUAUUGGGGAUCCCUUCAGCCCCUGAUCCAUUAAGGCUCUCCAAGGCCCACAGGCUGGACCAGCUGAGAUGCCUGAACAGUCAUGGUGGCAGCAGGCCCUACUUCAUGGGCACUUAGACUCAGGGAGAAAUUAGAACUCUGUCAGCUGUAGAACAGAGGCAGGUAUGGCUGGAGGCCCUGGCUGGGAGGACCCACCCCACAAGGAGCAGUGGAUUGAGGUCCUGCUUAAAGAAGCAGUCUGGCCACAUUCUGGGAAAGCAGCUGUGCUGUGCUGGGGGUACUCUACCUCAUCCCGACCAUUUGGACUCUCCAAAGCCCACAGACCGAAACAGCCGAGUUGACCAAACAGCAUAGAUAGCAGCUUGGCCCUUUCCUGGGGUCUCUGUCCUGUCUCAGGCAGGCUCCACCUUGUUUCUUGUGGCUGGCUAGAAUUCCAAGCCAGUGGAUCCUAUCUUGUGAGUUGCCAUGUAAGUGGGGCCUGCAGAUUGAAGCUGCUCAGCCCCCAGGAUUUAGC
ensembl:lincRNA